CACCUAAUAGGCUAAGCUUGGAUGAGGAUUGGUCUGGAGUCUGGACCAAUCGAAAAACAGAAAGCAUAGGUAUAAUAUCAGGCUGGCUCAAGGGAUUUGCCCUCACAACGAUUUCACUGGCACAUCCCACCGUUUUUAAAGGAAAUGUUAUCAGGUUGGUGUGAGUCGCCAUAAGUGAGGAGCAAAUCAGGUCUUUGUUGCAGAUUCUAUAUAGUAUACAAUUCAAAUUCGGAUCUCCUAUCUACACACUCUGCCUAUAUUUAUCGCAGCCACAUCUGUAUAAUAUUAUACAGAGUCAGAUAUUCUCAAAUCACGGGGGAAGUAUGUUAUGAGUAUACGUGAUCAGAGUUCUCGUGGGCAGGAAAUCGGAUUCAUAAAAUUCAUGAUAUUAACUGGGGGUCGCAAAACCGGAGUUAGGAUAUCCUGUCAGCGAAACACGUUCCAACUUCCAAGUUGCAACACACUAUCAAUUUUGAUCUGACAUGCGUGAAAUUUGCGGUGUUAGACAAUGUUGGUACCGUGUUGGAGCGUAUUUUGUUAGCAGAUGAUCCACACUCGCAAAACCGGCAUUUUUUUUUUUCGAAGAGUAAAAGGAAAACCGUCGCAUUUCAGAUGAUCGUUUUGUUUUCCCCGCUUCCCGAACCGAAUCGUCUCCUCUGGCAGCUUUGCCAGUCGCCGCUCCACCAAACAACGCGAGCAAUCGCACGAACGUCGGCGACAAAUCCAGAACUUCUGAUUUACACUACGACAUACUCUUAAGAAGGAGGAUCAACCAUGCACUCUCCCGUGCUUGUUCUGGGUCCUGAGUAAGUUCAAGUAGUUGCUUCUCAUCAGUCUAUUCGAAAUUACUAAUUAGUGAUCGGGCUGGAUUUGUGAAGAAAUUCUCUGCUAGUGAAUUCCUGGGAGUAUUUCUUAAUUCUGGAACAAUGAAGGUAAAGUUUUGGUUGUUAAUUCAGGACUUACUGGCAAGGGAAUUUACAUAGAGAUAGUAUACUUGCUACAAGGGCUGAGAUUGGCUGUUUCAUUGGGAUAUGGUAGAUUGAAAGGGAAUCUCAACUUAUAAUUAGGUGGAUGAAGGGUUAUGAUUGAAUCCAUUGGUUGAUACUUCACUUUAUUAGGAGGGUGGUGGCCCUUGGCAUCUAGCAGGAGCACCUAACUUAGAUAGGUCUGAACAUUUGCUAACUCCCUAGCACACUCACUAGCUAUGGGAGCUAAUAGGGAUGAAUUACAUCGGGGACCAGCUGGGAGGUGGGGGGUAUAGGCUAGAGGGGACUGCCAUUUUAUCCAUGGCUCAUGCUGAUUGUUGGGUGUAGCAGGUUGGUUUUAGCCCAGUUAAACUUGCAUCUCUUGUAUCUCUUCUCCUUGCUUAUUUAUUAAUCAAAUUUCUUUGAUCUGGUAAGGGAAAAUUUUCUCUGUCCUUAAAAGAAGGUUAUCUUUCUUGUUCCUUUUUUGGUUAAGUUCAUUUAUUGUUACAGCAGCAACAUCAAGUUUUCUUGUCAACCAUGUUCUUUGCAUGUUUUGUUGCAUCAGAUGUUUCUGUUUUAUUCUUGUAUGUGGCAGAACUUCCUAGAGUCUAUUGGAGAUUGUAGUAUAUCUGUUGCAACUGAGAUUUUUCCUUUUAGUAAUUUAUUUAUUGAACUUGAAAUCUGAGUUUUUUUUUUCAGAAUGAACACAGUUUAUUUUGGUUCAAUUUUCAUAAUCUUUUAUCCAAAUAUUAGGCUGAUUUUCUGAAUGGGCAGAGGACUCUUUUGAAGUGUGAUCCAGGAAGUAAAUUGCACCAUGCAAAUAUUCAAGCAUCAAAGGUGAAGUUUUGUUCUCAUAUUGGUGCAUACAGAUCAAUUCAAUUUCCCUAAGCUUUAUAUUCAUUUAUAUAUUCAUUUUGUUUUGCUUCCUGAUAUCAUUGAAUUUUGAGUAUUCUCAGACUUUUCAGUGACAUCAUUCUCUACAUAGGAAAAUAGGAGCACCAUAGCAUCCUUACCUAAGUGGGACCAGAUGUAGGAAUCCUGUACCUUUAUUCUGCUCUAAGUCCUUGAACAGUUUGUUAUUGUACUGCAAACAUUUUCAAGUUCAUGCAUAUCUAUUUUGUUGUCAUUGUUCUGUUGUUUGAAGUUGGUAUUAAUGGUGUAGACAUUAUUUCUGCUUGGCAAUAUUGCACAUCUUUUUUGGCUAAAUAAUGAAUUUGUGUAGAUGAGUAUUCCAAAUAUAUCAUUUUAUUUGUCUAAUUAACAGAUGAAACCUUGUUAGAUGGGCAUGCUGUUCUUUUAUUUAUUUAUUUAUUGAUCAGCAAUGGGUAUGCUGUUUUUCUAAUAUACUUUUGCAAGAGUAUAAACUGUUAAAAUCUAAUGGAAAUUUAUCUUACUAAGUUGUUUAAUAAAGUAACCAAAACAAAGGAAAAGAGCACCAUGCUGCCUGUAUAUAAGAGUAGAGGUGAUGUACAGAGUUGCAGGAUUAUUGUUGCGUCAAUAAUCAGGGUCACCCACUCUAUUCCAGUGUUGUCAAAGUGAUACAUUCUGGUCUCCCUAGGCAAUGUGGUAGCUGUUCAGUGCUAGAUGUUGACUAGUUGACCAUGAAAAGUACAUGCUCUAAACUUGAGAUAUUGAUUCAAUAUCACAUAUAAGUGUUGAUACAAACUACAAAUCAGUAAUAGAAUAAUGAUCAAAACAUUUAGUUUACAGUCUUUUGCAAGCAUAAAAGGGAAGGUUGGAUAAGUUAAGAUAGGGAUUGACAAUCUUUGUUCUUCAAAGAAAGACCAGCACGCCACUGGUCUCUUUGUGGCAAUUAGUGUGCAUAUAACUUCUUUGUUUGGAGGAGGCUAGCAAAGUCUAAGCCUUCCAUUGGGGUACCUGGCACAAUCUGUUGCAUAUAUCAUACUAUCUUUUAUAAUUAGUAAAGAUUUACCAUUAUGAAUAAAAAAGUCCAUAUAACAAAAUAAAAGCAUAUGAUAUUGUUUUUAACAAAUUAUAGAUAAUGACACAUAAAUAAAACUUUAAAAUAGCUUUGUGGUUGAUAGGACAACUAGGCUAACUUUUUUUUUUCUUUUUGUUGAGAAAGGUAACUAUUUCAUUAAGGAAAAAAAAGGAAGAGAGUACAUCAGAGGAUGUACAAAAGGAGGGGCUUAAGAACAAAAACAAAAAGACCAAUCAAAUCUGUGGGAAACUAUUUGAACUAUAUAAAACACUCCUCUCUGUGCCUGAUUUAGCUACCAGAUUAGCUUUUUGAUUGAAUUUUCUAGGGAACCAUCUGAAGAUGCAGCCAAGAGAAGAUGUAAGUUCUCUAAUUUCAAGAAGAUAAUGCACCAUUGUGGAAUUCUAACAUAUAUAACUGCAAAAUAUGUUGUCUGUCCAAUACAGACACAUUACUGUUUAGGAGGAUCAAUGAACACUGCUAGUCAGUUGAUCAGUUGAUGACUAGUAGAUGCUUUAAUAGCACUAUAUUCUCAUCAAGCCAAGGAAAGUGCCAUAGCUUGUUUUGUUUAUAGACAGUUAAGCAAAAUGUGAUGACUACUCACAAGUAUGGGUCUUUCUUUUUGAACAGUCAUACAAGGCUCAUUGGUUCUUCUGAAUGGUCUGAUUGUAUAGGGAAUUGGGACAAAAUGGUAUGUUCUUUACCUUAGCCCUAUAGUAUGGAUAGGUGAUCUUUAUGUUUGUUACCAGGCAUUGUGGUCACAAAUGAUGGAAAUGAUGUAUUGUGUGAACUGGACCUUGCUCACAUAGCUGCAAAGGUAUCCAUGUCUUUUUCCUUUACAAUGUAUGCCUAUCUGAAAUGGCAGUCCAUGAUAGAACUAAUCCGCACACAAGAUGAAGUAGGGGAUGAGACUGUAUCUGUAAUCAUUGUUGGUAUGUUGUUACAUAUACUUUUCACCUCUGCCGUUUUUGGAUAUAUUCUUUGCAAUUGAAAAUCAAAUAUUGUCAUUAGAACACAAUUUUGCUGGAAUUGAGUUCACAAAACAACUCAACCUGUUCUGGGUCAACAUUAGCACAUUGAGUUGAGCAGAACGCUCCCAUACACUUCUGCCAAAUAACUCAGCCUUCUUAGUUUCCCUUUCUUUUAUGUGUUCAAUGGAAAUGGAUAGGCAAAACGUUUAGUAAAUAUUUCACCUUAUUAUGGAAAGGUGGAUUGGGUUCAUUAUACAGUGGCAGCAUAUAUGUGUUUUGAAAGCUAAGUCAUUGCUUCCAAUGAUUUGAAAAUGGAUUAGGUUAUGUGAAUAACUAAUAAUCCCUUUACCUGUAUUUGUUGAAAAGCAUGUGAGAUGCUCCAUGUGGCUGAAGCUUUUGUUGAGAAGAAACUAUCAUCCUUUGGUUAUUUGUCGAGGUAUGCCUAAUAGUCAAAGGAGAUGGGAAUUUUCUUUUAGUGGAUAAGCAUAUCAAUCUUACCACCAUAUACCACUGCUGCACCUUACAACCCAGCUCUUGAGGAUGCCACUACCGUGCUUGAAAAAAUUGCCAUGCCAAUUGAUGUAAGCAACCGUGAGUUGUGACUGCAUUUUCAACAUCCAAAAUUUGAGAACUGAUUAUUUUCUAUUCUUAAUUGUUUAUUUAUGUUUAUUUUUUCUUGCAACUAGUGUCUUAAAGCUAACAUUUGGGCUGCUUUGUUUUAUGUUGGGCUCCACUUGGAACACACUUUGUAAGCCAAUUUUUACAUUUUCUGACCACAAUUUGUCUUUGCUCUUAUGUAAUGGAUGAACUUAGUUACUUAGUUGCUU